rnacentral:rRNA from 1 species
GUGGUGAAAUCCCAGAGCUUAACUCUGGAACUGCCAUCAAAACUUUUCAGCUAGAGUAUGAUAGAGGAAAGCAGAAUUUCUAGUGUAGAGGUGAAAUUCGUAGAUAUUAGAAAGAAUACCAAUUGCGAAGGCAGCUUUCUGGAUCAUUACUGACACUGAGGAACGAAAGCAUGGGUAGCGAAGAGGAUUAGAUACCCUCGUAGUCCAUGCCGUAAACGAUGUGUGUUAGACGUUGGAAAUUUAUUUUCAGUGUCGCAGGGAAACCGAUAAACACACCGCCUGGGGAGUACGACCGCAAGGUUAAAACUCAAAUGAAUUGACGGGGACCCGCACAAGUAGUGGAGCAUGUGGUUUAAUUCGAAGAUACGCGCAGAACCUUACCAACACUUGACAUGUUCGUCGCGACUCUAAGAGAUUAGAGUUUUCGGUUCGGCCGGACGAAACACAGGUGCUGCAUGGCUGUCGUCAGCUCGUGUCGUGAGAUGUUGGGUUAAGUCCCGCAACGAGCGCAACCCUCACUUUUAGUUGCCAUCAUUAAGUUGGGCACUCUGAAAGAACUGCCAGUGAUAAGCUGGAGGAAGGUGGGGAUGACGUCAAGUCCUCAUGGCCCUUACGUGUUGGGCUACACACGUGCUACAAUGGCAUCUACAACAGGAAGCAAAACGGCAACGUUAAGCAAAUCCCGAAAAGAUGCCUCAGUUCGGAUUGCACUCUGCAACUCGAGUGCAUGAAGCUGGAAUUACUAGUAAUCGUGGAUCAGCGUGCCACGGUGAAUGCGUUCCCGGGUCUUGUACACACCGCCCGUCACACCAUGGGAGUUGGUUCUACCUUAAGGCAAGGUUUUAAACCCUUGACCACGGUAUAGUCAGCGACUGGGGUGAAGUCGUAACAAGGUAGCCGUAGGGGAACCUGCGGCUG